AUUAGAGGUCUGACUCCUUUUCGGGACUCGGUUCUUUUGAGUGAGCCGAAGCAAAAUCGAAUUUAGUCAUUCAUUAACCGAUUUAUAAAGCCGUCAUACAAUUUAAUUUGAAAACCUAUUAAGUAUUAUGCUUUUUGUUUUCUCCAAAGUAUUGCUUGUCAUUAGCAGUUAGCGUACAAACCAAAUAUGAGCGCUUCUUACAGUUAUUGUGUUGUCUUGCAGUAUGUUGAAAAUAAAGCAGAUGACAAUGACUGGUUCCGUCUAGAGUCCAACAAAGAGGCCACAUGUCCACAGUAUUUGCCUCCAUCCUAAUGUCCAGAUUCCAGUCACAUAUCCUGCCACAGCACUUGAAAAGUGGCCAUUCCUGAGUAAGAUGGGAAGUCAGCCAAGAUGUACAGGUUUGAGCCUUAUGUGAAUAAUUUAGAAUUUCAUCACAAUUAAAUUUUUAGUUAAAAUAAAAACAAAUGUACCUCAAUCGUUCCAAAAAAACCAUCUUUUGUUUCAAAGGUGGUAAAAUCUGCCUGACAGAUCACUUCAAGCCACUGUGGGCAAGGAAUGUCCCAAAGUUUGGUCUGGCUCAUCUUAUGGCUUUUGGGACUUGGACCAUGGCUUGCAGUUGAGAUUCCAGACCUCAUUGCGAAAGGCAUAAUUGAACAUAAAGACCAGCAAAACAGCUGAAACAGUAGCAGCCUGUUUCAAUGGGAUAUGUAUGUUUUUUAUCAGUAAAGCUUGGUUCAUAAAUGUGGGACCAUUUUAUUGAAAUGGGUAAACAUAAGAAUUUAAAAUUGUUCGAAAGUAUUUAAAAAAAUUAUUUAUUUUCUCAGCUGGAAAAGUUUCUUUAACAGCUUUUCUUAAAAUAUGGAUAUAGGAAAAUGUAUAAUGAAAUAAUUUGUAUUUGUAAAUUAAUUAGAUUUUUUUUUAUAAAUAACUAUAAUAACUCUGUAAUUAAAUAAUGUUAUAUUAUUUUUAUCAUGUAUCUGUACUUAAGUUUUUGUUUAAAAAAAAAUAUUACAGAUGUUCGUAAAGGCAUUUAAAAACAUUGAGGCCAAUAAUAAUCUUAUUAUAAUAAUCUAAUUAUUUCAAGAAUCUGGUCACUCCAUCUCCCAAGAUGAAUGCUGGAAUAUAUUAUGAAAUCAAAUCGGUUUUGUUCUUGGUGUGAACAGAAGUAAAUCAUAGUAAUUAAUAGUCACUGACAGUAAGAAAGUAGGCUAACAUUAUGCCAUUAUAAAAUAUGCCUAUAAAAAGCAACUAGCCAUA